AUUGAACGCUGGCGGCAGGCUUAACACAUGCAAGUCGAGCGGAGAGAGGUAGCUUGCUACUGAUCUUAGCGGCGGGCGGGUGAGUAAUGCUUAGGAAUCUGCCUAUUAGUGGGGGACAACAUUUCGAAAGGAAUGCUAAUACCGCAUACGUCCUACGGGAGAAAGCAGGGGAUCUUCGGACCUUGCGCUAAUAGAUGAGCCUAAGUCGGAUGAGCUAGUUGGUGGGGUAAAGGCCUACCAAGGCGACGAUCUGUAGCGGGUCUGAGAGGAUGAUCCGCCACACUGGGACUGAGACACGGCCCAGACUCCUACGGGAGGUAGCAGUGGGGAAUAUUGGACAAUGGGCGCAAGCCUGAUCCAGCCAUGCCGCGUGUGUGAAGAAGGCCUUAUGGUUGUAAAGCACUUUAAGCGAGGAGGAGGCUACUUUAGUUAAUACCUAGAGAUAGUGGACGUUACUCGCAGAAUAAGCACCGGCUAACUCUGUGCCAGCCGCCGCUGUAA
rnacentral:rRNA from 1 species